CGUGGCUACACUUCCGUCUAAAGUUGACAGAUCAGAAACGUAAAUACAAAUCAGUUUUAGUUGUUUAAUACUAAACAUGGGAUCAAGUGGUGAAUUCGGAAAUCCACUGAGAAAGUUCAAGCUUGUUUUCCUUGGAGAACAAAGUGUUGGGAAGACAUCCUUAAUCACAAGAUUUAUGUAUGACAGCUUUGACAACACUUACCAGGCCACAAUAGGAAUAGACUUCUUAUAAAAGACCAUGUAUUUAGAAGAUCGCACAGUA